rnacentral:rRNA from 1 species
GACGAACGCUGGCGGCGUGCCUAAUACAUGCAAGUCGAACGAGUGGCGGACGGGUGAGUAAUGUCUGGGAAACGGCCCGAUGGAGGGGGAUAACUACUGGAAACGGUAGCUAAUACCGCAUACCAUGGGAAGUUCCCGGAUGGGAUUAGCUAGUGGGUGGGGUAAAGGCUCACCUAGGCGACGAUCCCGAGCUGGUCUGAGAGGAUGACCAGCCACACUGGAACUGAGACACGGUCCUGGCUCCUACGGGAGGCAGCAGUGGGGAAUAUUGCACAAUGGGCGCAAGCCUGAUGCAGUCAUGCCGCGUGUGUGAAGAAGGCCUUCGGGUUGUAAAGUACUUUCAGCGAGGAGGCGUUACUCGCAGAAGAAGCACCGGCUAACUCCGUGCCAGCAGCCGCGGUAAUUC